rnacentral:lncRNA from 1 species
GGUGGGUAGGGGAGUGAAAACAGCAGGAUAAACAGUUAAUGCAUGCUGGGCUUAACACCUACAUGAGGGGUUGAUAGGUGCCACAAACCACCAUGGUACAAGUUUACCUAUAUAACAAACCUGCACAUUCUGCACAUGUAUCCUAGAACUUAAAAGAAAAGAAAAGAAAAGAAACAAAUACCACCCACCUGGCUAAAAAUGCUUCUACUCCUUAAACCUCACUGAGGCAUAAAAAAAGACGUGAUGAAAAAGAUUGAUAGAUGAAGUGGGGGCGGGGUAAUGGUUCUGGAGACACUACUGGCUUUGAAUCUUACCUUUGCAAUCUGUAAGCUUUGUGAUGGAAGGUAAAUUUCCCAACCUUUUUGAGUUUCCUUUAUAAACAACUGUAUAGAGUUUAUUGAGUUUUUGAUUGAAAUAAAGAAGAUGAGAUGCAAAUUGUCCAGAAAAUAUUAAUUGAUUUGUUUAUUCAACAAUUUUUAAUUAACUUCCUACUAAUAUUUAUGUCACCAUAGCAUGGAGAAGCCAUCACUUAACUUGACUGGAUGUUUUUAAUCAAGUAACUACUCAGAUGAUGAAGAGGUUGAAAUGUCAUUGGCACAAAACUGCAAAAUGGUGAAAACUUACCCAGUGUCUCCUUUUUCAUGUAUGACAAACUGUCAAGAUAUAGUAAUGAAGGGAGAAGAGCUUGAUAAAGAUCCAAAGUUUGGACUAAUAGCAAAGGUUCUAGAAGAUGAUGCUGAAGAAGACAAAAGGAGGAAAGGAAGGAGCAUGGAAGCAUAACUUAUGUGCAGAGGAAUACAGGGUCUUUCAGGGGAGCAACAGAAUCAGGUUAUGGUUAAAUAACCUAUCAGCCUGUGCCACCUUGUCCUAUUAUAUUUCUUCCCGCUUUCUCAUUGCAUAGGGACAGAUCAUAGAUUCUCAAUUAAGACUUGACCUGUAGGGUGUCUGCUGAGAUACUGCAUUUCAUAAUGACAAAUAAAUAUUUCGGCCAACUAAGUGGCAACUUGUCUUUUGAGGACAGAAUACGUGUUAAAACUUAUCUAGUGCACACACUUGCCUGACUGUUGUUGACUUUAGUUAGUUGCACAGUGACUAUUUGCUUUGGCUAACUUUUAAGUAAUUUCUUCUGGAACUCCCUUCAUUUUAGAACCUCUUUGUGACAAUAAUUCACUUCUAAAUCUCAGUCUGUGGAUUAAGAACACAUCCAUGUUAGUAGAGAUAUUAGAGGGAUUAUGAAUCUGCCUUGCAUCAAAGUCUAUGAUUAGAUUGGAAGAAAUUUCCUAUAGAAAAAGUACGUUUAUAAGUGCUUAUAGAUGCAGUGAAAUGAAUACAAAUUCAUAUUAAAAAGGAUUGGAUCUAGAGCAGCUUUUCCUUGAUAUAUUCCUUGGUGAUCAACUAAUCCUGAAGUUAUAAAACUAUCACAUUUUUGUUUGGCAGUAUCUGUGACAUCUUUUGGAAUUAUAAAACUAUGGACUAAAAAAAUCAGCUACCAUAGAGUUUGGCUUAGGUUUAGAGCCACAUAGUCCUUUAGAU